GCAUAUGUGUCCGAGUGGUUUAAGGAGACGGUUUUAAGCACCGUUGGCUACGGCCUCGCAGGUUCGAAUCCUGUCAUAUGCA
rfam:Cafeteria roenbergensis virus BV-PW1, complete genome.